AUAAAUAGAGUAUGUUUAGGGUUUAGUACUAUCUGUGGUUUCAGGCUUCCCCUGGGCAUCUUGGAACGUGUCCCUCUCAGAUAAGGGGGAGACUACCGUACAGAAAAGCUGUAGCUGCUGUGUAAAAGCAUAGCUUCAAGUCAGGUCUUCUGCCAGCCCCUGCCACCAGACAGCCGCCCCCCAGCCCUUCCUGUGUGGAAGUAUUAGAGCUGCCAUGUUUUUGUAACUUUACCUCCCACCACUCAUACCGUAAACCCCACAGGACUACCUGUGGGUCCAGACGACAUCUUGUGUUUCCCACAUAACGCAAUGCUUCUCUCUCAUCUUCUGCUCUUUUUUACUGAAAGGGAUACUGAUUCUGCCAGUCCCAAGUCUACUCCUGUCUCUGUGAGGCUCUUCCCUUGCACCACCCAGAAGGAACCGGUAUUUGUGCUCUUGGACACACUGCUGAUUCAUCUAUGUCCAACCGUGUGCCAGACCUGAAUGAAAGUUGUCUGGAGACCAAUGGGCUUUGCCAUUUUUGACACAGACCAUGUCUUGGUCACUUAGCACAGUGCCUGGCAUUUCUCUAUUUACUGCUAUUUGGUGAUACAGACUUGCCUGAUACAGACUCACUAAAUAAGUGAAUGAUGUAAGUGGAGACAUGUUGUGCCCUUUCUGGGGCCAUUGGAUUUGUGAGCUCCAUAGUAUGGUCACCAAAUUAUGAAGUGCCUUCUGUGUGCUAAGCACUACAAGGAUAUGCAAAAAAAAUUCUGAGCCCAGAUCCCAUGCUCAAGUUGUCAAGGGAGCUGAUGAUUGCUGAAUGCCUACUGUGUGCCAGAUGCCCUAGUGAACCCUUCUUAAAUGUUGUAUCAUCCUCUCAUUAAUCUUAUGAGGGAGGCUUAAGAUCCCAGUUUUUACCAGUAAGGAAACUGAAGCUCAGGGAAGUUCAGGAACUCACCCAGAGUCCCGCUGUAAGUGGUGAAGCCAGGACUCAAACCCAGGUCCUUCCUGACUCCGGAGUCUGUUCUGUUUUCACAACAGACUGCUGGUUAAGGGAGACAAGACGAGACUUGCAUGCAUUUCCUUGGCUGCCUUUUCAGAUGUACCAGUCCACUUUUGUUGCCCAGGCAGGAAGAACUGCUAGCUUGCUAACACUGCUGGGUGGAGGCCCCCGGGUGCAUCCUAAAUAUGCCUUUGGCCCAGUGGGUCCUGAGCAGGCAGACGUGCUUCCAGUGGCCCAGAUCUCCUCUUCCUGGCAACUGCACCUUCAAGGUGGUGAGCCUCUUCAGGCACCAGGCACUGAGAUGCAUUUGGAAAUUUGGUGAAGGUUCUGGAAUGCCUUUACAAAUGCCUUUCUACCCUACAUCCUGUUCCAACCUGGAUGUUCCAUCAGACGAUUCUCCUGAAACAGCUUUAAUCAUAUUUAAUAUUCUCCUGUAAAAAGAUUGGCAUCUAAAUGCAAAGUGUAUCCUGGAUUGGAUCCUGGGAUAGAAGAAGGACAUUAGCGGAAAAAGCCGUGGAAUCCAAAUCAAGCCUGGAGUUUAGUAAAUAAUAAUAUACCAGUAUCAGCUUCUUAGUCUUGACAAAUGUAGCAUACAAUGCAAGAUGUUAGCAUCAGGGGCGAUAGGAAACUUUCUGUACUAUCUUUGCAACUUUCCUGUAAAUCUAAAAUUAUUCCUGGGCCCCUGACUGGCUCAAUCAGUAAAGCCUGUGGCUCUCGAUCUUGGGGUGGUGAGUUCCAGCCCCACACUGGGCGUGAAGCUUACUUUAAAAAAAAAAUAUAUAUAUAUAUAUAUAUAUAUAUAUAUAUAUAUAUAUAUAUAAUUACUCUAAAGUUGGGGCACAUGACUGGCUCAGUCAGUACAGCAUGACUCUUGAUCUCUGGGUUAUGAGUUCAAGCGCCACAUUGGGCGUUUAGCUUACUUAAUAAUUAUUCCAAGGGGCGCCUGUGGCUCAGUCGGUUAAGCGUCCGACUUUGGUCACUUUGGAGGUCAUGAUCUCAUGGUUCGUGGGUUCAAGCCCUGCAUCAGGCUCUGCACUGGAUCCUCUUGGAUCCAGUGGAGGCUCUGCACUGGAUCCUUGUGGAGCCUGCUUGGAUUCUCCGUCUCCCUCUCUCUCUGCCCUUCCCCUGCUCGCACUCUCCCUCUCUCUCUCAAAAGUAAAUAAACUUUUAAAAAUAAAUAAAUAAUAAAUAAUUGUUCCAAAAUAAAAGUUCAUUUAGAAAAUGUUGGUGCCUCUUACAAGGUGAUGACCAGGCUACUUGACUGGGUUUUGGGGGUUCUCCAACCUUAUCUUCCCCUUCUUUCACCCUGUGAAAGAAUCCUCUGUUUGGCUGAAUGGUUUUACUCACUGUCCUCCAGACAAAGUCUGUGCUCCCCUCUCCCCUGCGUUUGCCCUAGCCAUGUACCCUGCUGGACUGAUCACCUGCCAAGGAAUUGUCACGGUCCUUAACUGCAAACAGAAGUAAGCUAGUGUGAACCUACUGAGGCUCAAGCUUCAGGCCUGUCAUUUGCAAGGUCCCAGAGUGUGCACCAUGGCUGUUAGGAGAAAGUGAUCCCCCUGUAACCGCCUCUGCCACACAAAGAUCCUCACAGCCCUGAGACUCUGGGAGGUAUAUGUUAGUUGUAGUCUCGGCCACGUGUCCUUGACAUGCCAGGUAGCUGCAAGGGAGUCAGAUAGUAUCUGACUUUUCAUCUUCACUGUGUGAGGCCAUCUCUACCUCCAACCACAGUGGGAAAGUCCCCAAACACAGGAAGGGGAUUCAUUCACUGGUUCUCCACAAAGUGGCAGAUGUUCACUACAGGUGGUUUUUUAGAGCCAAAGCUUCCAUGAGGCACAGCAGGCUCAGGUGACACUUGGGAAAUCAGCUUGGUUUGGCCUGGAGGCUGCCUGGUACAGACUGUGCUCCUGCAUCUGACUCACUAGACCAGGGUCGAGGGGACUUCAUCUCCCGAGGGCACUUGACCUAAAACCUUUACAAUAAAAAGGGCCCAUGUACAUGUCCUUAGCAAUGGAAAAGGGUCGUACCGGGGAGGUGACAGCCACCUGAAGCGGGGGUGUUCCCCAAGGCAAGAGAGCACUGUCAUGGGAGAAGGUCUGUGUGCUCUGUACCCACGGUGGCACCAUCACUCCUCCGGCCACUGCAGCUAGAAAACUGGGAGCGUCUGACUCCUCCCUCUCACUCAUCCCCAACAUCCAGGCAAUCAUCUGGGGCUAGCUACUGCCCCCUAAUAUUUCUCAGGUCUGUCUCAUCAGUAAGCACCUUCUUCAGGAAGCCCUUGCUGACCUCCUACCUGGCUGGGAGGGGGAAGGUCAGGGGUCCGGCCUUUGUGCUCCUGUUGAGCACAAAGCUCAUUAACUUUGCAUGUAUCUUAUGGUUGCCCUUGCCACAUAGCAUUAAAAUGGUCUAUUUCCUCAUCUCUUUGUUCAAGCACAGAAUGCGCCUAUCCCUCUUUGUACCUCCAGUGCCUGGCACACAGGACUGCACAGCUCGAUAAACAUUAGACAGAUGGAAAGAAGGAAGAAGGGGAGAAGACAAGAAGUAGGCUGAGCUUGAGAAGGGCCCCUUGGACUAAGCAAUGAAAUGUCCCCCACACUCUUACCCCUUAAUGCUGCCUGCAGCAUGCUUGCCCCAGCCAGACUCAGAGCUGCCUCUCUGGUGUGAAGGGUACAAGUAGAAGACAGGCAGUGAGCCCUCUGAGCUUGCUCUCAGACUCCCCUGUGCCAGGUGAUCCUGGGGACACUGGGGACCAUGCAGGGCCUCAUUAGGAGGGACCUGUGGAAGACAAAAGAGGCCUCAGGCCCUGGGUGGGUUAAUCAGCAGCAUUAGCCCCAUACUGCCCUCCUCAGACUUCUACAUGAGAAAGGUAUAAACCUAAGUCACUGCUGUUUGGGGUUUUAUCAUUGUAUACAGCUGAACUAAUAAUCCCGUGGCUCUAAGCUUGCUGGAACAUUCUCUCUUGCCUCCUUCGGGGCCCUGCUUGCAAGGCAGGUGUGUGUCAGGAGGCUUGCAAUUGGAAGCCCCGGAGAAUGUUACCUGGCACUGGUGGCCCCCUGCAGCGGAUAGAUGGUUCCUGGGUCCCCAGUGCCAGCACAUGCAAGGAAUGAGGAAAUGGGGUGGGCAAGUCGUCCGGCCUGUCUACUCCUUGGGUUCCUUGCUCUGAAAACAAGAAAGGUGAUCUUCAAGGUUCGUAUAGCCUCAAGUUCAAAAUAUUUGUCUUAUGAAUGAAAAAGUAGCACGGAAGAGAUGGGGGGUUUAGGUGUAGGCAUUAUACCUGGGCUCCAGUCCUGGCUCGGCCACUAACCAGCCGUGCAUCUUGGACAAGUUCCUGCACCUCUCUGAGCCUCUGUUUUCCUGAAGUCUGAAAGUGAAACUAUCUUUGCGCCUGCUUUGCAGGGGUGUUUCAGGAUAAGAAAUACUGUAGACAAACGUCUGGGCACAGAGCGGCCACUCAGUAAGUGGGGCUGCUAGGUCUUUGUGGGUGGAAAGUCCUUCAGAGAGUCUAGCUGAGCCGAGCCCUGGGUGGUGAGGUGAGGAACAUGAUGGCAGGCAGGUAAGCAGUAUGGGCAAAGGAAGGGAUAGGCAUAAUGUGAUGGUGCAGAGUGGGUACAGACAGCGUGGUCCCAAACGGGGAGAGACGAUGCUUCCUUUCAAGUGUGACGCAAGACAGUCUACAACAGGUGCCACUUCCAGCAAAGGGAACUGCAUGGGUCACAUGGCCUAUGAGCUAGGCACUACACGAAAGCAGGAUUUGUAGAGCAGAAGCUGGAAGACAGUGGAGUUAACACCAUGGACCAAGGCAGAGAGCUGAGAGCGUGUCCUGUGUGUCCUGGGGGCGGGGAGGGCAACAGUGGAUGAGGAAUGCUCAAAUGCUUUAAACGGAGCACUUGGGCCCCUCUUCUCUGCAGGACAAUGACAAGACAGGCCAGCGAGGCUCCACUGCUCACGCUGUCUCCUACCUGCUUCCUCUCAGCACCUCUGCGUAGGCUGUGUCUGUGAGGCCGGAGCCAGAAGGCCUGGGUCUGGAAGGAGCCUCUGCGGUCCCCUGGGAGACCUGCAAAGGGGCUGGUACAGCACUUGUGUUCAGAAGGUGAAAGACUUGGAGAGCAGGCAAGCAGGCAUUCACUGCAGCUUCCUUCCCGCCUGGCGGCUGGCUGUGUGCCCUGAACUUGACCUCAGAUGACCUGUGUGUUCCCUUCCUGGAAACGGUUCCAUUGCCAGAAGCAGUUGAGCUUUGGCUUUGGCUUUCUUUCUCCUUCAGAGCAGGGACUCUGGCUUAGCUGAGAUUGGCUCGGCUACUGUAAAAGUCUCCCCAUUAGCUGAGCAGGACCUUGCUUUCUUGUCCAUCACCUACCACGGGGGUGGCUGCUACUCUCCACCUGUCCUCUUACCCCUUGUCAGCCUUCAGGGUUCUCAGUUUAGCUUUGGCGACUUUUAAGAGUGGAGAUAACUGCAUAGAUAAGGUGACUUUAAGAGUGCAAGAUCACUGCAAAGAUAAGGACAUAAAGACCAAGUGGGGGAAGUGUGAAAUGUUCUCCCCAGGCUGCUCAGCUAGUUAGCUGCGGAGCUGGGACAGCCCAGGAGUUCAAACUCUCAGACGAUGCUCUCUUUCUGGGCUAUGAGUUGCCUAACUCCACACUCCUCAAAUUCAUUAAGGCCGGAGGUGUGGACCUUCGCUAAUGUGCAAGUCUGGAUUAAUGUCAGUGUCUUGAAAUCCUCGUGUGACAAUGUGAAUUUUGUUUCAGGCAUUGUCCUUGGUAACUAACAAAUACCAUGCUUGGUUGUUUUGUGGAUUGGGCUGGCAUGAAAAAUAAUUCCAAAAAUGCUUGACUUUGCCCAGUGUCGCUGAUUAGUGUUGCUUUAGGAAAGGAAAUCCAGUAUUAGCCCCAGUAAGGGGAAGAAACUGCAACACUUUCUCUCUAGUCAAAUGCAUAAGGUAUAUACAUAGCAUACUUACCAAAGAAAGGGACUAAUUUCCAAUCAGCAUACAAGCUAGAAUGUUAUAAAUCCCAUAUAGGUUGCUUUGAUCCAAAGCCUUCACACUUACCUUUGGAGCCAGUUUAUGGGUCCCCGUAGAGAGCCAGGCUCUGUUUACCAUUCAACAGCAAUAUGUUGAACAUCUGGGUCCCAGGCACUGGGCAGGGUGCUGGGAAUACACUGGGUAGCAAAUAGGCACACGUGUACUUUAAGAGUGACCUCUUCACUUAAAGAAAUGUCUUCUCUAGGUUUGAAUGCCAUCUUAAUCAUCAGGUUUGGUUCUGAAAGAUAUUUUUGACUGCUUUCUAAAAUUAAGCUCCUCUCCAAAGGAUAGAGAAUGAAUUCACUGAUUGAAAUUACCCAGAAAAAAAAUUUAGCUUAGACAAAGGCAAUCUCAAAAGAGGAAUUCCCAAGACAUUUUAAGCAAUGGCCACGCAACCUCCCAAGGAGACGGUUAAAUAAGAAACAUGUAUUGGGAAGCGACAUUUAUUUAAAAUGCAAAGGCACAUUUUCAUGAGAACAAGGUUUUGGCUUCUGGAAGCCAGCCAUCUCUCAAAGCAAGAUGACCAAACGGUCUGAACCAACUCAGAUCUAUUGGUUGCUGUCUACUGGCCAUGAGCCCUUAGGCUAGGACUGUCCCGGGCGUCCACAUCUGACAGCACCUGCCUGCGGAAUCUCCAAAUCAAGGCAAGUUACAAGACUGACAGAGCUUAGAAACAAACCCGCUUAUUUACACGGGUUCCCCUGUUGCCGAGGGUAUUUCAUUGAUCAAAGAUAAGUGUUAUCAUUUGAGUUUCCAGGUUCUCACAAAGAGCUCAUUCUAUAUGUUUUCUAUUUUAUACAGACCUUUCUCAUUUACCCUCUCCCUCGAGGCCAUACCCCGACUCUUGUGGUAGGCAUUAAAAAUUCCCAUUGUACGGACAGACAAACUAAGGUUGGGUCAAAUGGCUUGCCAAAAGCAUACAGCUACAGCGGGCCACUGAUGGGGCUUGAGACCAGGUCUUGCAGUUCCUCCUCCAUCAGACACAGAGGCCUAAACUCCUGCAGAAACGUGUGAUGGCUUGUGCAAGCAGUGGGUCCCAGCCUGGCCAAACAUUAGACCUCACCCGGGUGUGGCUAGAUGUUGCCAAGGACAUGAGGCUUGGAGUCCCCACCCAGGCCCAUUCAAGGAGAAUCUCUGGGUGUGGGGCCUGGGCACCAGUAUUCUUGGAGUUCUCCAAGUGGCUGCAAUGGGCAAAACUGAAAUCAUUCUGUUAGUAAUCCGGAUCUGCUUCCUUCUUUCUCAAGGACCUGCUUUCCAGUUGUCUUUUUUUCAAUAAUAAUGUUCUAUUUCUCAAGUAUAGGAAUAAUACUUAUUUGUAGAAAUUUUAGAAGAAAGGUAGGACGAAGAAAAAAAUCGCCAAGAGAUCCAUUGUUAAUAUUUUGAUGUAUUCUCCUCUAAUCUUUGUACAUAUCUACUUACAAAUUUUGGUAAUAUAUACUAAUAUUUUCUUUUGAUUUCAUAUGGUAAAUAGUUUCCAAUGUUGCCAAAUAGUUUUCAAAAAUACUAUUUUAAUGUGAAAGCAGACAAGAUUUUUAAAUAUACUGUCCCCAACAUUAAUAGUGAUUAACAUUGGACUAAAUAAACACUUAAGAAAAUAAAAUAAAAUUAGUAAAAUCAUUAUAAUGGCUGCAUAAUAAUUUAAUGGGCUCACCUCCUAUAAAUCAAUCAAUCUUUAAUAUAGGACACUUAGAUUGUUUGUAGUUUUCUGUUGUUAUAAGUAAGUCUUCUAUGAAGAUCCUUGUACCUACAUUUCUGUGCACCACUUUCUUAGAAGUGAAAUUAAUGAGCUGGAGGGUAUAAACCUUAUGAAAUUUGUUGAUAAACAUUGCUGAAUUGCUUCCCAAAAGGGUACAUGAAUUGCUGGUCCCCUCGGUGUAAAGAGAAUUGGGAAAGAGAAUUGUUACAGUCUUUGCAAAAUUAAGUAUUUUCAUUCUGUGAUCCGUCAGUUUGCUAUGAUUAUUAAUGAGGCUGGACUUUUUAUAUCUUUAUUGGUCAUUUGUAUUUCUUCUUUUGUGAAUGUUCGUGUCCUUUGCCUUCCCCUGCCUUUUGGGUGUUUAUCUUUUUUCUUACAUAUGAAGCAUACUAAGUAUAUAACACUUUUCCAUUCAUUUGUUUUGUAAAUGUUUUCCCUAAAUUUAUCAUUUAAUUUGGGUUGUUGACAUACACAAGAGCUUAUUGAUUUUAUGCUCAGAAAUACCUUUAGACUGUUUGAUCAGGUAAAUAGUUACCAACAGUUUCUUCUACAAGUCUCAAUGAAUAAAAGCCUGCUUACAUAGGAGCAGUUUUUCUGGUUAAGCACGAUUUUAUUGGUCUGGACUAAGAAAACCAGUCCAUCUCCUACAGGAACCUGACUUGAAAUUAUCAAAACUAUAAUACUUUCUGGUUUACAUUCUUUGAACUACCCCACUGGAUACAUGAUAAUGUAAAAAACAUGUUGGUUGUUCCCAUCUUUGUAGGGCAAAACAUUUAAAUUUUUUUAAUGUUUAUUUAUUUGAGAGAGAGAGAGCCAGAGACAGAGCACAAGCAGGGGAGGGGUAGAGAGAAAGGGAGACACAGAAUCUGAAGCAGGCUCCAGGCUCUGAGCUGUUGGCACAGAGCCGGACGUGGGGGUCGAACCCGCAAACUGCGAGAUCAUGACCUGUAGUUGGAAGUUUAACCUACUGAGCCACCCAGGUGCCUCAGUAGGUCAAAAUAUUUAAAAGCAAACAGUAUGCAUAGCCUCUCGCAAAAGACUGCCCCACCCACAAAUUAACAAAGUCCGCUUUCUCUCUGAUUUCAGAAAUAGGGUAGGUUUUAGGAGGGUACCCCUGGGCCCUAGGUGGAGACUUUCUUUCAACCCAAGCCUCUCCUAGUCUCACGCCUUGGGGACAGACAGACUCUAAACCUGAGCAGGGUUGCUCUGGAAUGUAGUAUCUGGUAGGUACUUAUACUAAAAAAUUUUAUGUUGCUUCUCUGACCUUCAAAUUUAACUUGGAUGCCCUGUAUUUUUGUUUGCUAAAUCUGACAUCCCUGAUCCUGAGGUUUCCUUUCAGUGGUGAUGUUGGGGUCUGCGUCCCAGGCGUGCCCACAGGAAGCGGUACACAGACGUCGCACAACUGGUAGAUCACAUAAAGGUGUUUACCUGCCUCCCUCCAAAGAGGCUCUCAUGGCCAAGGGGCAGCCUCUUCCCUGGGCCCCAGGGAUACUUUCUAAGAAACCCACUGCAUUGACUUUUCUAUACCAAUCAGCAUGUACUUAGAAACCUAAGCUCUUCACCCAGGCCUUGUGGGCUGCUCCCAGGCUUGCUGCACGUCAUGGUUCCUCUUCCUCCUUUUUCUAGCAGCUGUGAGGUUCUUCUUGGGCUGGUGGAUCCAGGCAGGCCCAGGUAAGUGCCCAUCAUUGCCUCAUUCAGGUGUCCUUAGCCCACUACACGUUUUUGUUUGAGUGGCCAAUCUGUUCCCUGUGGCCUCUUUCUGCCUUGACACCUAUUUUCUGUCUUACGGACUCUUGCUUCACUAUAAAUAAUUAGAUUGCUUUCCAAAAGUUGGAUGCUCAAAUUCAUGUUUUAUUGUGGUUUGAAGUGGCCAAAUGACAGGUGGAUGUGGGUCAUGGCCUAGUCAUGCCUCCAUUAGGACAACCCUAAAGAAUGGCAAGAAGAGGGAGGCAUCAGCUCAUACCCCCUCCCUGGCUUAGCAGAUAAAUAGUACAGUGUUGGCAAUCCAGAAUACUUCCCCAGGAACAGUGCCAGAGUGACCUCGAGUGACUCAGUCCGUUAGUGCAGGUGUUCCCAAGAUCGCCUCUCCCGCUCCAUGGGGCACGGCUGCGUCCUUUUUACCUCUGGCCCAUUUAUCUCCAAAGGCUUCUAACGCAGAGCUUCUCAAUAUUGAGGGUGCCUAGGAAUCACCUGGAAGUCUUGUUAGAAUGCAGACACUGAAUGAGCAGCUCUGGGGCCUACUGAGAGUCUGCCCUCUUGACAAACUCAUCGCACCACUGCUGUAGGUCCACGGAUCACACUUUGAGUGGCAAGCGUCUGAAGCUUUUCCUGAUUGGCUGCAGGAUGGCCCAGGCGCCUGGUCUUUCCAAUUCCAGGGCUUUGGCGAAACCUCCAGGCCCAGGAGGUCGGAAUCCAAGGCAAUGUGAUCCACGUCUGUGAGAAAGGCAACCGCAGGGAGAGGGCAAGGAGGCACAUGGCAGCAUUGUACCUACUGCACUUCCCCAACCCCUCAUGACUUGCUUUGGCCCGUGAAAUGAGAGCAGAAGUAACUUGUAUUACUUCCGGAUGAACACUUGGAGAAUUAGUGCUUGAUUUGCCCCGUCCUCGCUUCCUGCCUUCAGGGUCGAGGAGGCAGCAUGUCCAGUUCCAGCUGCCUGCGUCCCUGGGUGGCUGUGGGAAACAGAGCUCCUCUUGACCCACAGUGGACACAUUUCAUGAUCGAGGAAUAAACUUUUAUGUCAAA